rnacentral:rRNA from 1 species
CCACCACCAAAGCAUUCUCUGGUGUUGAAGGCCCUGCAAAGCAGCAUCGCGGUGGCGGAGCGUCGUUUGCGACGCCCAACACACAAAACAAGCGGUGAGUGCUUUGGGGUGGGGUGACUGCGUACCUUUUGUAUAAUGGGUCAGCGACUUAUAUUCUGUAGCAAGGUUAACCGAAUAGGGGAGCCGUAGGGAAACCGAGUCUUAACCGGGCGUUAAGUUGCAGGGUAUAGACCCGAAACCCGGUGAUCUAGCCAUGGGCAGGUUGAAGGUUGGGUAACACUAACUGGAGGACCGAACCGACUAAUGUUGAAAAAUUAGCGGAUGACCUGUGGCUGGGGGUGAAAGGCCAAUCAAACCGGGAGAUAGCUGGUUCUCCCCGAAAGCUAUUUAGGUAGCGCCUCGUGAAUUCAUCUCCGGGGGUAGAGCACUGUUUCGGCUAGGGGGCCAUCCCGGCUUACCAACCCGAUGCAAACUGCGAAUACCGGAGAAUGUUAUCACGGGAGACACACGGCGGGUGCUAACGUCCGUCGUGAAGAGGGAAACAACCCAGACCGCCAGCUAAGGUCCCAAAGUCAUGGUUAAG